rnacentral:rRNA from 1 species
CCUACGGGAGGCAGCAGUGAGGAAUAUUGGUCAAUGGACGAGAGUCUGAACCAGCCAAGUAGCGUGAAGGAUGACUGCCCUAUGGGUUGUAAACUUCUUUUAUAUGGGAAUAAAAUGUUCCAUGUGUGGGAUUUUGUAUGUACCAUAUGAAUAAGGAUCGGCUAACUCCGUGCCAGCAGCCGCGGUAAUACGGAGGAUCCGAGCGUUAUCCGGAUUUAUUGGGUUUAAAGGGAGCGUAGGUGGAUUGUUAAGUCAGUUGUGAAAGUUUGCGGCUCAACCGUAAAAUUGCAGUUGAAACUGGCAGUCUUGAGUACAGUAGAGGUGUGCGGAAUACGUGGUGUAGCGGUGAAAUGCUUAGAUAUCACGAAGAACACCGAUUGCGAAGGCAGUUCACUGGACUGCAACUGACACUGAGGCUCGAAAGUGUGGGUAUCAAACAGGAUUAGAUACCCCUGUAGUC